rfam:Ixodes scapularis strain Wikel colony gcontig_1108379595704, whole genome shotgun sequence.
GCAGUCGUGGCCGAGAGGUUAAAGCGAUCGACUAGAAAUCCAUUGGGGUCUCCCCGGACAGGUUCGAAUCCUGUCGACUGCG